UGUUAUUGAUCUUGAGAUUUUACCUCGAGCCAUGAUUAUAUCUUGUCUCAUGUGCAUAGUACUCUCUACUCCACUCACUGAGUAUUUAUAUACUCACUCCCCAGUUUGAUAUUUUUGAUUGCAGGGCAGGUAUUGUAUAGAGAGGAGCAGGAUUAGUGGUUGCCUGCUAGCUGUGCCGCUCCAUAGUAUAGUAUAAUGUAGAUAGAGGUUUAUCCCCUUUUGGUGUAUUAUAAACCUUCUAUUAUAUAUAGUGCAUAGUUACAGUCAUAGAUCCUGUUGUGGAUAUGGGUUUGACCAUGGAUGGAAUGGGAACCAGAUUUUUAUACAUAUGAGUUAUAUGCCUGAGAUAAUGUAUUGAUAUAUAUUGUCCAGGUUUAUUAUGUGACAGAUUAUGUGAUUGCUGCUCUGACAGGAGUGUUAUAUGUAUUGAGAUAAUCCUGACAGGUCACCAUAGGAAAGGUGAUCAUUUUGUGCAUGCAUCAUGCCAAAAUUUUCAGAAUUUAUUGAUGAUUAAUAGGUAGUAGGGUUCUACGUGGUGGCUGGUGGCCUUAUGCCUACCCGCACCCUAGGACCGUCGCGGCGGCCCGCCGGGAACGGGGCGGGGGUCGUGA
rnacentral:lncRNA from 1 species